UACGAAGGGUGCAAACGUUGCUCGGAAUUAUUGGGCGUAAAGCGCACGUAGGCGGCUUUGCAAGUCGGAUGUGAAAUCCCUCGGCUCAACCAAGGAAGUGCAUCCGAAACUGCAGAGCUUGAGUACCAAAGAGGAUCGCGGAAUUCCCGGUGUAGAGGUGAAAUUCGUAGAUAUCGGGAGGAACACCAGUGGCGAAGGCGGCGAUCUGGGUGGACACUGACGCUGAGGUGCGAAAGCGUGGGGAGCAAACAGG
rnacentral:rRNA from 1 species